AGGCUGGGGAGGGGUGACAGCAAGGACACCUCCUCUUUGAGCUGUUUUCUGAGUCAGCAAGAAUAACUGGGGCUUGGAAGUAUUCUGGUUUCUGCCCCGCUGGGAGCUCCUUUCCUGAAAUGGAAGCUUUGGCCUGGGGGGCCAGAGAGCACAGCGCAGGCCUCCCCAUGGAUGAGGGCGGGGACAGGGUCCAGGGCAGGAGGGCACGGGAGAGCUGUGGGAGGAGGCAGAAGGUUCUAGUUGGGAGGGAGAUCUCAGGGCCCUGGAGGAGGAGGCCAUGGGCUGAGCUGAGACCCAGGCCAGCUCCUCCGCACUGUCGCACCCUGAGCCUCCCGAGUGCCCAGCAGAGCCUCCCGUGAGCUGGUGAGGGCCUUCCGGGCUUCAGCGUCUUGUCCCGUUCGCCUGCAUCGUGGCUAAGGACGCUCGGUGUUGGGGUGUCUGCGGUAGACACAGAAUCAGGACUUGUCCUCGGGCUUACGCGGAGGGCCGUGUCCCUGGCCUGGGGAGGUGGGCGCCAUGGUCCCAAGCAGGGCCCUACGGAGGAGCUCCCGGGCGGCGAGGUGGGGUGAACAUGCAGCCUGGUGCCCCAGUUGGGAGGCUGGUCAAGGCCAGGCAUCUGCUGGUCGUGUGGUACCUCACAGGCACAGGUUUGGGAGGGGGAGGCUGGUCCCCUUGCGUGCGGGGUCCCCGGGCACGGUUGUGGAGCAGGGACAGGCCCACACUUACUGACGGGGCAUGGGUGAGGUCCAUCAGCUCCUGGGACACUAGGUGACUUCGGGGGCCCCCUCCCGUGGCCUGUACCAGGACCUAGACCUUAACGUCCGAGAUGGACGUGAGAGCCGCGUCCCUCUGCAGGUGUCCUCGGGGCCUGCCAGCAGGGCAGGGCACUCAGAGCUGCAGCAGGGUCAGCACAGCUGCUGCCCUCUCGGAAGCAGGGAAGCGGACUCCGGAGUGCACCGCUCUGCCAGGGUGCUGGGACCCCGCACCUGGCCCACUGAGCGGCGUGUCUGCACCUCUGUUCUGGUUGGAUGUAACUGUUCCCAGCAGGAGCUCUGGGGUGGGAGGAAGGAAGAGAGCAGGUUCGGAGCCAUUCAGACCUAGGAUGGACGGUGGCUGACACCGUGGGCCUUGGCACCCAGUGACCUUGACCCUUCCAGAGCCACUGGACACCUGUCGCAGGGCCACUGCCCUGGUGUGCACUUCUGAGGGAUGGCCCCACCAGCUGUCUUCCAGGUGCAGGGUGUGGGGCCCCUGGGGACCGGCAGAGGGCGGUCUUGUCUUUCUCCCGCAAAGCUGUGGAGUCUGAAGAAAGUUCUGGGCUGGGAGCAGGGCCUGCAGGCUGCCUGGCGUUUGCCGGCUGAUGUCCUAGUGGGGUUUCUGUGGGCGCGAGUUUCUUCGUAGAGCCUUGCUUGGGGGUUGUGAGCUCACCAAGAAGAUAGCUGCGUGAAUUUUGACCAAGGUGCUUUUUUUUUUUUUUUUAAUACUGAAGGAAGGUUGUUCUUUGGUCUCAGGAAGGAGGUGAUCCAGUCGGCUCGUCCAGCACGUUGGGAGGGAUUUAUCUCUGAACGUUGGACGAGCCAGGGUCUCGGCAUCAGGGCAGUGGCUGGCCUGAGAGCAGGGAGGGGUGUGGGGAUUCACGGCGCCCUGAGGACCAGCCCCACCCUGCCUAGCAGGGGCUCGCACUGUGUCUGAAGGAACUGGGGGAGGCACCCUCAGGGCAGCUGGGGCUUUGGGGAGAGCCCCGGAAGCCAUGAGGGCUGGUUGGGCAGCAUGACCUUGUCCCGCCAGGCCUGGGGUCCGCAGCACUGCUGGGGCGGGCAGGACUCGGAGCCCAGAGCUGGCAGCAGAACCUUCUCGCCUCACGGCUCUAGGGCCCCCAGGGGAAGGGCAGGUCUCCUAACGGCCUAGGCCGGCGCCUCCCAGUGCAGGAGAUGCAAGGUGCUCUGCGGGGCCGGCUCCAGCCCCAGCCCCACACAGAGCCUGGCCUGUGCCUGGACUGUUUGGGAGCCCUCGGCGCUGUCCCCAGGCAUCCGAGGGAGCGUCUGGUGGGGGCAGCUCCAUGCUGCUCGGGGCAGGCCGGUCAGGGAGCCUCGGGGGAGCGCUGGCGAGGGUGGGAGUCCAGCCUGGAGGAUGGCUGUGGGUGAAGGGGCCCUGCCCCUCUGGCAUGGGGACAGCAGGGCCGGCCGAGACUCAGACUCGCGGGUCACUGAGGCCCUGUAGGCUGCAGCUGCCUGUGGGAAGGUGGCGUGGCUUCAGUGGGAAGGGCGCAUCACUGUCUCUGUCAGCCGAACGGACGCUUUCCAGACACUUCUCCACCAACUGAUUUAAAAAAGGCACUGCUCCGAAGUCCUUGGAGAUUGUGCUCACCCGCGCUGGCGGGCGGCGGCACCUGGACAUGAAGCGAUUGGGGCUCGAGUGGCUGAGUGGCAGCGCCCCUAUUCAGAGUGUGUCUCUGUUCUGUUUGGAAGCAGCUGGGGAUAAAUCUCAAAUAGAUCGAUGUGGAGCAUCAUUUGGUAGAUUUAGUUUCCAGCCCUCUGCUGUGGGAGAGGUGUAAUAAUCUGUGCCUGCUACAUUCGUGAAACUGAUAAAAAUUCUGUAUAAACUUUUAAA